ensembl:lncRNA
AGGUCUGUUUGUGAACUGCAGGAUUUUUCCUUUGCUGCCAUUUCGUCAAGCCACAUCAUGAUUCCAUCAGUCUGCAUGAUGUGCGGCAAAGAAUAUGCGAAGCAGAAAUUCAAAAGAAAUGUAUUCAGUUGUGUCAGCAUCUUCCACGCACCUAAGAUGCCAGUGGCCUGCAGACGAAUCAUCCUUUUUAGCCUGUUUUCGGAAAGGAUGAUUAGCACACAGCACUGUUUGACAUUUACGAUGUAUGAAACAAUAAUUUCCUCACUUGCUCUGCAGGUUUUCAGCUCAGUUUUUAGUGUUUGUGUUUUUUUCCCCUCAUCAGUUCAUCACUUGAAGCAAAUUCUGAUAAUUGUUUGGCUUCUGUCUACAUAAUUUAGGUGUGUUCUUGUUUCAUAAAUAUAUGGACGCUUACCUUAUUUUUGAAUGGGAAGAGGGUUUAGUAUGGGUUGCUUGUAGCGCUGAAGAAUCCUUUGUUCCUCUGAAACUGAUAUGACUCAGUAACGUGGACGUGGAUAAAGCAAUAUUUGACUAAAACAGUUGUGAAAAAAGAUCCUCAUUGACAUCCAACAGUAUGCUGCAGGAUUCCAUGACUCUUAAGGUACGUUUUAUUCCAGCUAAAACCAGACAUUGCUUCCUUUGUACACAAAAGGGUGAACCACAUAGUAAAGCUGUCAAGUGGGAAUGAAAACUUCUGUAGUGCGAUUCACACAAAAGAAGCUAGUAGAGAAAUAAUCUAUAUCCAAGCAGCUGACCUGACUGAGCAUUUAAGGUAGGAUAUAGACAAACUGUUGAACAUUCCAGCCUCUUCAUUUCUUUCUGAUUUAUUAUGUCCCCAGAAUAUGAUUCAUUGAUAAUACAUAAAGUGUCUAAAGCCAAUAUUCUUCAAAUAAAAGUGUUGUUGGGGGGCACCAAAACAAGAAUGUGAGCUAACGUGUUGUGCAGUUAAGCAACGUAACUGUUUUCUUCCCACUUGCUAACUUUCCCUGUAGCUGACGGCAGAGUAUAGUUGAAUUUUACUCUCGAGUGUUUCUGGUCUUCAUAUAAUGCAACAUAAGCGGAUCCAGAAAUGUGAGGUGGGACUCAGGGUUUGAGCUAUAGAAGUUGUGAGGCACUUGUAUUUUGUUGAAGGUGCCUUUGUGUGUUUUGCAUACAGGUGGAAUUGAAGUUUUAUAUUUUUCAUACUAACUAAAAUGACCAGCACACAUUCAAAAUAUGAAAAUAAUCAGAUUUUUAAUAAAGCCAAAAUUUG